rnacentral:rRNA from 1 species
GACGUAGGGUGCAAGCGUUGUCCGGAAUUAUUGGGCGUAAAGAGCUCGUAGGCGGUUCGUCGCGUCGGCUGUGAAAUCCCGAGGCUCAACCUCGGGUCUGCAGUCGAUACGGGCGGACUGGAGUUCGGCAGGGGAGACUGGAAUUCCUGGUGUAGCGGUGAAAUGCGCAGAUAUCAGGAGGAACACCGGUGGCGAAGGCGGGGUCUCUGGGCCGAUACUGACGCUGAGGAGCGAAAGCGUGGGGAGCGAA